AAAGAGCUAUAACACAGCCGAAACUGCUACCUUCUCUCUAUGCUUUUCCGCCCCGAAAAACUGAUGCGGGCCUGCCAAUCGAGUUGCCCCGAAUAGCAAGUAUCACUGCAUGUGUUUCCCUUCCAACAAUUUCACGUACUGUUAACUCUCUUUCCAAAGUGCUUUUCAUCUUUCCCUCACGGUACUUGUUCGCUAUCGGUCUCUCGCCAAUAUUUAGCUUUAGAUGGAAUUUACCACCCAAUUUGAGCUGCAUUCCCAAACAACUCGACUCUUCGAAAGUGUAUCACAAAGUAAUAGGCAUCCGCAUCGUGUACUGGGUUCUCACCACUAUGACGCUCUGUUCCAAGAGACU
rnacentral:rRNA from 1 species